rnacentral:rRNA from 1 species
AUGCAAGUCGAACGAACCUUCGGGUUAGUGGCGGACGGGUGAGUAACGCGUGAGAAUCUGCCCUCAGGAGGGGGACAACAGCUGGAAACGGCUGCUAAUACCCCAUAUGCCGCGAGGUGAAAUGAAUUUCGCCUGAGGAUGAGCUCGCGUCUGAUUAGCUAGUUGGUGUAGGUAAUGGCUCACCAAGGCAUCGAUCAGUAGCUGGUCUGAGAGGAUGAUCAGCCACACUGGGACUGAGACACGGCCCAGACUCCUACGGGAGGCAGCAGUGGGGAAUUUUCCGCAAUGGGCGAAAGCCUGACGGAGCAACGCCGCGUGAGGGAUGAAGGCCUCUGGGCUGUAAACCUCUUUUAUCAAGGAAGAAGAUCUGACGGUACUUGAUGAAUAAGCCACGGCUAAUUCCGUGCCAGCAGCCGCGGUAAUACGGGAGUGGCAAGCGUUAUCCGGAAUUAUUGGGCGUAAAGCGUCCGCAGGCGGCCCUUCAAGUCUGCUGUUAAAAAGUGGAGCUUAACUCCAUCAUGGCAGUGGAAACUGUUGGGCUUGA